AAUGUCGUAACAAGGUUUCCGUAGGUGAACCUGCGGAAGGAUCAUUACUGAGAUGGGGUCCUUCGGGGCCCGACCUCCAACCCAAUGUCUACCGUCCUUGUUGCUUCGGCGGCGCCGCUCUCGGUAUGACCCUAGAGAUGGGAACAUUUCGAGACCGUCGGCUCCUUUUCACCGGGGGACUUUCGAGUGCCCGCCGGGGGCAUUAAGACACAAACUCUUUACGAACCCGAUUCUUAAACUAUUGUUUUUAAUAAACUCAAA
rnacentral:misc_RNA from 1 species